rnacentral:rRNA from 1 species
AGUGAACGCUGGCGGUAGGCCUAACACAUGCAAGUCGAACGGCAGCACAGUAAGAGCUUGCUCUUACGGGUGGCGAGUGGCGGACGGGUGAGGAAUACAUCGGAAUCUACUCUUUCGUGGGGGAUAACGUAGGGAAACUUACGCUAAUACCGCAUACGACCUACGGGUGAAAGCAGGGGAUCUUCGGACCUUGCGCGAUUGAAUGAGCCGAUGGCGGAUUAGCUAGUUGGCGGGGUAGUGGCCCACCAAGGCGUUGAUGGGUAGCUGGUCUGAGAGGGUGACCGGCGACAUUGGGACGGGGAUACGGCCCAGACUGCUAAGGGAGGGAGUAGUGGGGAAUAUUGAACAAUGGGCGGAAGCCUAAUGCAGCAACGCCGCGUGCGGGAUGACGGCCUUCGGGUUGUAAACCGCUUUCGCCUGUGACGAAGCGUGAGUGACGGUAAUGGGUAAAGAAGCACCGGCUAACUACGUG